CCCCUCUCAGGAUCUCACAUGGAGAGUUUCCAAAACUCUACAAGUCUCGGUUGUUGGAGGGAGAGUCAAGCAGAGACAUAUCCAUUCCAUUCCUAGCUUGGGCAGUGACUAGUGAGUGGAAGGCAAUUUGCUACAAGU